UACGGAAGGCAGCAGUGGGGAAUAUUGCACAAUGGGCGAAAGCCUGAUGCAGCUAUGCCGCGUGUAUGAAGAAGGCCUUAGGGUUGUAAAGUACUUUCAUCGGGGAGGAAAAAACAAAACUAAUAAUUUUAUUUCUUGACGUUACCCGAAAAAGAAGCACCGGCUAACUCCGUGCCAGCAGCCGCGGUAAUACGGAGGGUGCUAGCGUUAAUCAGAAUUACUGGGCGUAAAGAGCACGUAGGUGGUUUUUUUAAGUCAGAUGUGAAAUCCCUGGGCUUAACCUAGGAACUGCAUUUUGAAACUGAAAUACUAGAGUAUCGUAGAGGGAGGUAGAAUUCUAGGUGUAGCGGUGAAAUGCGUAGAUAUCUGGAGGAAUACCUGUGGCGAAAGCGGCCUCCUAAACGAAUACUGACACUGAGGUGCGAAAGCGUGGGGAGCAAACAGGGAUUAGAUAU
rnacentral:rRNA from 1 species